GGGUAAGACUGAGGCUCAGCUGGUCCAAGGACAUUCAACCUCAGGUGCUCACACUGUGACUCUAUUGUAGGAAACCUCAUUGCUCUCUCUGAUGGCAAAAUUUCUAAUUAGCCCUUCUCAGCCUCCUAAAGGGGAAAUGGGGCUGAGAUGACGGUGGGUUGUUCUCCCACCUCCCCCAAGCCCUCACCUUUAACCGACACCCACAUCUGGCUACCUUCAUCACCAGCGACUGGAGUCCACAGGUGGGCCUGGCAUGUUCUUCACUCAGAAUGUCCCUGCAGGCCCUCAGCCUCAACAAGACAGGAGCACACAGGCUAGAGCUGUUUGUCUCCUUCUCAUUCAUCACCGUCUCUCUGGGCUCCCAUUCCUCUACUGCUGAAACCCCUACUCACCCCCAACUACAGCAGACAGAGCCAAGAUGAAGAGGAAUGCUCUCACCAGGUCAGCUAUUCCCAAGCUGCUGCUCCUUCAAGAAAAAUCUCCCCAACUGGUCUGCAUCAUAAACACGUCUUUCCCAAUCCAGGGCUUAGUCCAGACCUCAAGAAUCCUGAGAAGUACCAUGGAAUUCAGUUCUUGAUGAAGGCGGGUUUCUGCCACUUGCUGCCGGAGAGUUCUGACCAACAGUGAGGCUUUCCAUGUGCAUCCCUCCGAUACCUGCUUCCGCUGUGCAGCUCCAGUCAUUGACCCUGUUCCUGCCCUCUGGCCACUGGCACUAGGCUCUCUGCCAUCUGGUGAUGCUGCUGACUCUCCGCAGGUCCACAGGGCUGCCUGGUUCCUGUCAUGUGACCUCCCUGCCUAAGCUACAGACGCUACCAGUAUGCUCGCUGCCCCCAGGCUCAUCUCCAGACCUGGUCUUGCUAGAGCCCCAGUGCGCCACCCCUGAGCCUGCUGCUGAACCUAAGCUUGGGUCCAGCCCUGCCCUGUGCUGUGUCGGAACUGGAGGACUGUUGUAAGCACUGCAUAAGAUGGCAAAUGCAGCUGUGUCUGGCACCCAGCAAGCACUCGAUCCAACUUGGGCAUCAUUAUUACUUGACCAGGAACUUCUGUGAAACUUGGUUAUGUCAAAAAGAGGAAGAUGAGGAUGACUGGGUCAUGGUCUCUUGUGAUCCCAGCAGGAGGACACAAGGAGAAAGCAGCCAUCUGCAGACUAGGAGGCAGACCCUGACCAGACACCAGAUCUGUUGGCACCUUGAUCUUGAACUUCCCAGCCUCCAGAACUACAGGAAAUAAAUGUUUAUUGUCUAAACUACCCAAUUCUGUAUUUUUGUUAUAGCAGCCUGAGCUCUGACGUUAAUCUUGCACAACCUCUCCAUUUUACAAAUAAGUAGACUGAAAUCCAGAGAGGGCAAGUAACCUUUUCAAGACACACAAGAACCAAGACUUUCUGCUGAAUCAUGAUCGGCUCCUGUCCCACACCUGUUGCAAAGGCUCGGGAAAUUCUCCACCCUUAUGCAGCUAGGCUAGAGCCACUCCACACAUCUUCCAAGGCGCUGGAAUGCUCACAGUCAGGAGGAUUUGAAAGAUUUCCUGUUUUUAAAAAGCUGAAAUCGAAAAGUGCUGUCAUUUUCUUUAAAUACAUUCUUUUGAAUAAAACAUCUAUUCUUGAUGCCAGCAGCAAGCUUCGAAACAUGUUCAAGAUGACAUGAUUGAUAACAAGAAGGCUUUUUCAAGAUGUUUCUAAUUUCAUCUUCCUGGUUAAAGAAUGCGAACUUUCUAACAUGAUGUAUGGCCUAAUAAGAGGUGCGCGUGAACCGAAGUUAUUUAUUUAUGCUUCCAUUUUUGACAGAUGAAUAUUAACUACUGGGAAAAUUGUAAAGCCAAUUAGUAAAAGCCGAAUAAUGUCCAUAUGAGAAUGUAUGACUAGAAACACACAUUACUUCUCAUCCAAACAACAGAGCUUCCUCUGGGAAGCUGUGGCCAGGCCAGGCCAUGGUGGCUUCUUUCCCUCGCAGGUGCCCCCAGGUUGGCCUUGAUGAAGUCCAAUUCCAGAACAGAUUCUGGAAUCCCCAAGGGAGAGUGGUUCUUGCCACUCCAUAUGUGGGACAUACAUAAAACGUGCAUUUCUGCCAAUCCUGUCGGCUUUCUCCAGCUACCCAGCUGGCAGACCUCCAGGACUGAGGGAAGCUAAGGAAGAAAUGGGAGACGCAGAACUCUAAAGACGGCCUGCACUGGCUCCAUUCUCUUCUGCGUCUUAGGGGCAGUCUGUUGUAGGGGAAUCAGGGGUAACAAACCUCCCAAUCCCUCACCCCCUCAUCUCCUAGAGCUUGUCUUGCUCUUAAUGCUGAUACAGCUCCCAGGAGCUGGAUAAAGCCACAAACAAAAGCCAAUUUGGAAGCAAGUCACACAUUCAAAAAUAUUUCUUGAACGCCUACUGUGUGCCAGGCAACCAGAAAUGCAAAACAGACACACUCCCUGCUCUCAUGGGGCUUCCAUGCCAGAGGGCAAUGUAGCAGGGCCCCUGUGGGGACCCAGGAGAAGGCUGACACCCUGAGACACUGCUGGAUGCCCCUGUACCCGUUGGCCUCAUCACUGAAGCCGAGAAAGGGAAGCGAAGGGGCUGACAGCAGCUUCCAAAAUUAACAAGAGGUUAAUUUACCCAACACAUGCUGCAAAUGUUGUAUUAUGCUUCUAGAAAUGAAACAAACAACCUGAGAUUUCACUUGGAGGCUGUGAAUUAUUCUUUCCCCCAGCACCCUGGGCACCAAUCUGUCACCUUGGAUUUUUUAGCCCAUUGCUAAUUUUUAAUAACUUCUUGACAACUGCUUGCUUCAUAUUACAACAAUGCUACCACUGUGCAAUUUAAGAAAGUAAUAAAUGUUCUUUAAAGUAUAGAAGGCACUCCUCCCAAUACCCUACACCCACUCCCCACCCUGCAUAUUUAGCCAAUGAUCAGAUCUGCCUAAAAACCAAACUGUAAGUUUUUCCCAUUACAAAUAAUUUGCUUUUAAAAGAAAAGGCCCCUUUCCAACUGAAACUCCCAAGUACAAUAAAAAACCUAGAAGGGCUCCUAUUUUCUUCUGCCCCUUGACUCCCCUUGCCUCAUCUGUGAGCCUCGCUAAAGUGUGUGAUUGGAUUUUUCAUUAAAAGCCCCCCUCCCACUUUCUGAAGAAUCCAAGAAGCAGCAGAAAUCAGAUCUAGCGUUGUAAAAUCCUAGCAUAUCUGAGUCGGGAGGAACCUUGGGGAUAUGCACUUUCUAACCCUCUGAUUUCCCAUUUUUUCAAAGGAGGAAACUGCCUAAGUCCACGCAGGCAUUAUGUCAGGGCCGGGACAGGAAGCCCAUUCUCUUGGCUGCUAGAUCGUUUCCACCUGACCAAUGCCACCUCACAUCUGGGUUUUCCCACCUCCUGGCCCCCAGUUAUCAUCCUGGGAUUUCACAUCCUAAAUAAACUGUGCAGAAUCUCCAAGAGCUCUUUGGGAAUCCAGGUGCAUGUGUGCAAUGAAUAACCUCAUCAAUUACAGAGGAGAUGGUCAUGUGUGUGAUUGUGUAUGGAAUGCUCUUCCUAUCUCUGGAAUAAAAUCUUUGAUGCCAUUGGUACUCUAUUCUUCCAAAAUAAAGUAUAGAAAAUUUCCAUUUCUUCCAGUGGUUAAGUACAGAGUUCGAAAGGUCAUAAACUGUUUUACAUGACCAAAUUGAUUAGCUUCUCUAUCCCUACCUAACAAAAUGCAAGAGAUCCAAGUGUUUCAUUUCAGCCCAAGAAAUCCAUCGUUAAGUUUAAUGCAAACAUUGUUCUUCAUUACUCAGCUGGAUCUUCUUUGAAAGGGAAUUCAUUGUAAUACGAUUUGGACAAACCUGCAGAAUCAUAUUAAAACCAUAAACUAUGUAGAAGUACACGUGCUGGCAGGCAUGGGAGAUAAGUUGGGCACUUGGAAAAGUUAUUAUCAUGCUCCAAAUUUAGUGUUCCAGUGUCUAACUGCAACUCAUAAUGUUAACUAUCAGGCUGUUUAGGCAUCUUUAUUUCUUGUCAGGAAAAUGAAAUUGUCUCCUGUCAUGUUGGACAGUCUGGGUAUAUAACUUAUGUCACAGACAACAAAAAUGUGUAAUUUUAUAUGUUCCUGUACUCAAUAUUUUAGUACAAAAGGACUUCAAACUCGAAUUAAUACACUUGUUCAGCAUGCCAUUUUUGAAAACCAUAGCGGAGCAGCAAAUGAAGAACAUUACGUGAUACAAGCAACUUGUCUUGCUAUUUUUUUUUUUUUAGUUAAGACGUAAGGAGAGAAAAGGAGUAGAUAUUUAUCACUCUAAGUUACUUCCUGAAGUCUGAAGAAUUCUCUCUUUCAUCAUUGUAAUUUGGUAAUUAGAUCCAUAAACAUGCAAUUAGCUAGAAAGGGGACGUUUUUAUUUGUCCCAGAAUUUGCAAAGAAAUUUGCCACCCCAACCCAAGUUUUUGGUACCAUGUGGGUCUUCUGGGUCUGGGUUUUCAUGAUUCACCAGUGACCACAGAAAUGGGGCCAUGAUGGCAAUGGCCCUCCUACCCUGUUUCUUCACUCCUUCAUCUUGAUGUCAACUGUAUGCCCCUAAAAAUGUCUACCAUCGACUGGUCCCACCUUUCCCUUCUUCCCUGUCUUGACCAUAAACCAGCCACUCCACGUAUGUUUGCACCAUACUUGCCCCCAUCCCACCCCAUGCUCCAUAGACUUCUCCUCUGUCUUUGAGGCUUCAUGGCUUCCUGUCCUUCCUCCUCCAAAACUCCCUCACCCCCAAUUGUGCCUGCUCCUGAGUCCCCCAUCUUAAACUGAGGACACUCUCUCUUGACCCCACGCUCCCCUCCUCUCCCUGCUCCUGUCUUCUCGUCACUGUGGAGUCAUUCUCACUCCAGUUCUGAUCCUUCUCUUCCCCAUUCUAACAACCUGCUAUGCAGCUGUUAAUAUGCUUCUGCACCAUCUGAACCACCUGCACCACAAGCAAAACUGUCCCUUCUAAUUUGCCCAUGUCAAAGGGUUCAGCCCUCAGACCUUCUAGCCAUUGCCAGCAUCACACCCAUGCCCAUAUUCCCUCAGUCCUUACCACUCCUGAGCAUGCAGACCCUACAGCUUCCACUAUAGCACGUGCAACUCUGCCUGAGGGCCUUUUCUGGUCACUGGACCAUGCUCAGCUCACAUGGGCAGACCAGAAGUGCCAGGGAGUUGGUACCUCCCAGAAGCAGCUCUCUACCAAUAAUGGACAAGACUUGGUGGAUAAACACCCCAGUUCCCUCAUCCCUUGUUGGGGAUAAUCUUGAAGCAUAUUCUACAAUGUCUACUAGAGUUCCCAUGCUGGUUUUAACCCCACUGUGGUUAUUUAAUGCUCUCAUGGUCAGGGAUUUUAUGGUUGGAAGAAACAGACCAAUCCCAACUGGUUCAAGGGACAAGAUCCAGGCUGGAGACAUAAACCUGGGAGGCCUUGGCAUACUGACACAUGAGUGAAGCAGCAAUUACAAGUAACACACUUCCUGUCUCACAAGGUGGCUGUGAGAGGGGAAAUGGAUACUUCACCCCACCCUGCUCAGCACUGUGCUAGGCCACAAACUGAAAGCUUGGUAAACAGGAAUGUUCUCACUUGCAUAAGGUUAUGCAAGAAUACAUUUGUAUAAUCACAGAAUUUUGGAUAGAUCGUCUAGCUCAAAAGCCUUAAUUUGCAGGUGGAAAAACUAAGGCUAAGACAAAGGAAUUGACUUGCCCGGCAUUUUCCCACCAUUAAAGAUUGUUUCCUUAAGAUUUACAUGCCCAGCAGUAAAGGAGAAAGGUGAAGUUUAACUGUUCCUUGAUAUUCAAUUAGACUGUUAGGAGUUACCAAUAAACUUUCUAAAGGCCAAAG
rnacentral:lncRNA from 1 species